GGCUUAGUAAGUCAGGGGGUGAAAUCCCUCGGCUCAACCGGGGCAAUUGCUUUUGAUACUGCUAAGCUUUGAGAGCGAAAGGGGCAAGUGGAAUUCCAGGUGUACCGGUGGAAUGCGUAGAUAUCUGGGAGAACGCCGAUGGCGAAGGCAGCUUGCUGGGUCGCUUCUGACGCUCAGGCACGAAAGCUAGGGGAGCAAACAGGAUUAGAUACCCUGGUAGUCCUAGCUGUAAACGUUGGGUACUAGGUUCCGGGAUUUCUGAUGAUUUCGGGGCCGCAGUUAAUGCAUUAAGUACCCCGCCUGGGGAGUAUGGUCGCAAGGCUAAAACUCAAAGGAAUUGACGGGGGCUCACACAAGCGGUGGAGCAUGUUGUUCAAUUCGAAGCAACGCGAAGAACCUUACCUGGCCUUGACAUGCUAGAAGUACGAACCUGAAAGGGGGAGGACCGGUAUCCAGUCCGGAACUAGCACAGGUGCUGCAUGGCUGUCGUCAGCUCGUGUCGUGAGACGUUGGGUUAAGUCCCGUAACGAGCGAAACCCUUGUCGUCUGUUGCUACCAGGUAAUGCUGGGCACUCUGGCGAGACUGCCGGUGUUAAACCGGAGGAAGGUGGGGACGACGUCAAGUCAUCAUGGUCCUUACGGCCAGGGCUACAAACGUGCUACAAUGGCAGGUACAGAGAGAAGCGAUACCGCGAGGUGGAGCAAAUCUUCAAAACCUGCCCCAGUUCGGAUUGGAGGCUGCAAUUCGCCUCCAUGAAGUUGGAAUCGCUAGUAAUCGCGGAUCAGCAACGCCGCGGUGAAUACGUUCCUGAGCCUUGUACACACCGCCCGUCAAGCCACCCAAGCUGGAAGCACCCGAAGUCCGGCGCC
rnacentral:rRNA from 1 species